rnacentral:rRNA from 1 species
CGGGAGUAACGCGUGAGGAACCUGCCUCAAAGAGGGGGACAACAGUUGGAAACGACUGCUAAUACCGCAUAAGCCCACGGCUCGGCAUCGAGCAGAGGGAAAAGGAGCGAUCCGCUUUGAGAUGGCCUCGCGUCCGAUUAGCUAGUUGGUGAGGUAACGGCCCACCAAGGCGACGAUCGGUAGCCGGACUGAGAGGUUGAACGGCCACAUUGGGACUGAGACACGGCCCAG